rnacentral:rRNA from 1 species
GACAGAGGUGCCAAGCGUUAGGCGGAAUCACUGGGCUUAAAGCGUGUGUAGGCGGGCGGGCAAGUACCUUGUGAAAUCCCACGGCUCAACCGUGGAACGGCUGGGUAUACUGCCUGUCUUGAGCCAGCUAGGGGUGACCGGAACAGACGGUGGAGCGGUGAAAUGCGUAGAUAUCGUCUGGAACGCCAAAGGUGAAAACAGGUCGCUGGGGCUGAGCUGACGCUGAGACACGAAAGCCAGGGGAGCGAACGGG